GACGAACGCUGGCGGCGUGCCUAAUACAUGCAAGUAGAACGCAGUUGCGCACGUGUGAGUAACGCUUAUGUAACUACCUAUUAGAGGGGGAUAACUAUUGGAAACGAUAGCUAAUACCGCAUACUAGUAGAUGGACCUGCGUUGUAUUAGCUAGUAGGUAGGGUAAUGGCCUACCUAGGCAACGAUACAUAGCCGAGCUGAGAGGGUGAUCGGCCAGACUGGGAAGGGGACACGGCCAAGACUCCUACGGGAGGCAGCAGUAGGGAAUCUUCGGCAAUGGGGGGAACCCUGACCGAGCAACGCGGCGUGAGUGAAGAAGGGUUUCGGAUCGUAAAGCUCUGUUGUUAAGGAAGCGGUACUUAACCAGAAAGGGACGGCUAACUACGUGCCAGCCGCCGCGGUAAUUC
rnacentral:rRNA from 1 species